GUGGGGAAUAUUGCACAAUGGGGGGAACCCUGAUGCAGCAACGCCGCGUGAGUGAUGAAGGUUUUCGGAUCGUAAAGCUCUGUCUUCAGGGACGAUAAUGACGGUACCUGAGGAGGAAGCCACGGCUAACUACGUGCCAGCAGCCGCGGUAAUACGUAGGUGGCGAGCGUUGUCCGGAUUUACUGGGCGUAAAGGGAGCGUAGGCGGAUUUUUAAGUGAGAUGUGAAAUACCCGGGCUCAACUUGGGUGCUGCAUUUCAAACUGGAAGUCUAGAGUGCAGGAGAGGAGAGUGGAAUUCCUAGUGUAGCGGUGAAAUGCGUAGAGAUUAGGAAGAACACCAGUGGCGAAGGCGACUCUCUGGACUGUAACUGACGCUGAGGCUCGAAAGCGUGGGGAGCAAACAGGAUUAGAUACCCUGGUAGUCC
rnacentral:rRNA from 1 species